rnacentral:rRNA from 1 species
CUACGGGUUGCUCCAGUGGGGAAUCUUGCGCAAUGGGCGAAAGCCUGACGCAGCAACGCCGCGUGCGGGAUGAAGGCCUUCGGGCUGUAAACCGCUUUCAGCAGGAACGAAAAUGACGGUACCUGCAGAAGAAGGAGCGGCCAACUACGUGCCAGCAGCCGCGGUGACACGUAGGCUCCAAGCGUUGUCCGGAUUUAUUGGGCGUAAAGAGCUCGUAGGCGGUUGAGUAAGUCGGGUGUGAAAACUCUGGGCUUAACCCGGAGACGCCAUCCGAUACUGCUCUGACUAGAGUUCAGGAGGGGAGUGGGGAAUUCCUAGUGUAGCGGUGAAAUGCGCAGAUAUUAGGAGGAACACCGGUGGCGAAGGCGCCACUCUGGACUGAAACUGACGCUGAGGAGCGAAAGCAUGGGUAGCAAACAGGAUUAGGUACCCCUGUAGUC